rnacentral:misc_RNA from 1 species
ACAAACUUGGUCAUUUAGAGGAAGUAAAAGUCGUAACAAGGUUUCCCUGCGCGAGACCCUGUGGAGCUGGCCUCUCUGGCUGGCGUUGCCGCGACUGUAAAGAUUGGCAUUUACCGCAAGUCAGCUCUCUGGAGCUGGCGACGCUGCAAAUUUGGCGGGAACGCUUGCUGGUCGCAAGCAACCCGCAGUCCCUACCCGGGAUUCACAGAUCAAAUGGCAGUGGGCCUGCGCGGCUUAAGAUAUGAUCGGCCUCGGCGCGCCAGCGCCCAGAUUCAGCGUCCGUAGGUGAACCUGCGGAAGGAUCAUUAAAGAAUAUAGGCCGCGAGGCCCUAUUCCAACCCCUUGCUUGCUUAACUUUGUUGCUUUGGCCGUGCCCGAUUCGGGCCGGCCGAAGGACCUGAACUCUUGAAUCAUUGCCGUCUGAGUCACUAUGUAAUAGUUAAAACUUUCAACAACGGAUCUCUUGGUUCUCGCAUCGAUGAAGAACGCAGC